rnacentral:tRNA from 1 species
UAUAUUUUAGUAUAUGAUGUACAUAAGUUUUUGAUACUUAAGGAAUCGGUUUGAGGGCGAUAAAUAUAA